rnacentral:lncRNA from 1 species
AGGGGUCAACUCAUAGGGUCGACUCAUGCUCAUGGGUCGACUCAUAGGGUCGACCUCUGUGGAAAAGAGCAGAAAAUGACAGUUCUGUAAUUUUAGCCUGUAGAGCAGUAGAGGUCGACUCAUAGGGGAGACUCAUGCCAAGGGAUCGACUCACAGAGUGUGCCAGCCAAAAUUUCAGCGUGCCGUUCAGCCCUUUAAGCCAUGAGUCGACUCAUGGGGUCGACUCAAAAAUAAAAACUUGGUUUUCUUAUAAAAUAUACUCCCAAAAAUAUUAAAAUUUCUUUCAAUAGAUUAUACGU